UUUAGCUGUUUUUAUUCUUUCAUAACGAUGGAUUUAGUCUGAUCUCAGAAGCUAAGCAAGGUUAGGCCUGGAUAGUACUUGGGGUGGGAGAAAUCUGGGAAUACCAGGCUCCACAUUAGGU
rnacentral:rRNA from 1 species